rnacentral:rRNA from 1 species
CGGAAUCGCUAGUAAUCGCGGAUCAGCAUGCCGCGGUGAAUACGUUCCCGGGCCUUGUACACACCGCCCGUCACACCAUGGGAGUCGGAAAUGCCCGAAGCCGGUGACUCAACCUUUAAGGAGAGAGCCGUCGAAGGCAGGUCUGAUAACUGGGGUGAAGUCGUAACAAGGUAAC